ensembl:lncRNA
UCUCUCUCCCCGCCCGGCGUGUUGUUUGUUUGUGAGGAGAAGUUGGGGGGUGGGAGAGGGGCGGCCGUUCGUCCGUCCCCUCUGCGGAGUGCGCCCCGCCUCCGCCUCUCUGAGGAGGGGCCGUGAGGGCACAGCUCCGGGCGCGCAGCCAGAGCCGGCCGGCGGCACUGGGAGACUGCAGGCCCUGAGUUGGGCAGCGCGCCCAGCGCCGAGGAACUCCCGUGUAGAAGGAGCUGCGGAGCCACAGCUGCCCCACGGGACGCGGAUGAGGUAUGGAGCACUGUGAGGAAGGAGGAGAGCCCCACGGUGCCUCAGUUCCCCCAGCUCUGAGCCCGUGCCCACCAGGGGGCUGCAGCCCCACACUUGCCUGCAGCCCCGCAGCUGCCCCUCAGGACGGUGGAUGAGGUACGGAGCACUGAGAAUGAGAGCCCCCCCAGCACUGAGUCCCUGAGCUGCUGCCCCACACCUGCCCGCUUACAGCCCCACAGCUGCCCCACAGGAUGGUGGGUGAAGUAUGGAGCACUGAGGAGAAGGACAGAAGCCCCCACAGUCCUCCCCCCCCCUGCACUGAGCCCCUGAGUGCACCAGAGGGGCUGCAGCCCCACACCUGCCCCAAAACCUGCAGCUGCUGCAUGCCUGCAGCCCUACAGCUGCCCCAUGGGACAUGGAUGAGGUACAGAGCACUGAGAAGAAGCAGGGGAGCCCCCUCAGUGCCCCCCAGCACUGUGUCUGAGUGCAGCAGGGUGGGCUGCAGCCCCACACCUGCCCCCCAACCCCCAGCUGCUGCCUGCAGCCCCACACCUGCCCCAUGGGACGUGGACAUGGUAUGCAGUACUGAGGAGAAGGAGGGGAGCCCCCCCAUUGUCUCAGUUCCCCCCAGCACCGAGCCCCUGAGCUGCAGCCCCACACCUGCUGCCUGCUUACAGCCCCACAGCUGCCCCAUGGGGCAUGGAUGAGGGAGAGAGCACUGAGGAGAAAGGAGGGGAGCCCCCUCAGUGCCCCCCAGCACUGUGUCUGAGUGCAGCGGGGGGGGGGGGCUGCAGCCCCACAGCUGCCCCCCAACCCACAGCUGCCGCCUGCCUGCAGCCCCACAGCUGCCCCAUGGGACGCGGAUGAGGUAUGGGGGGCACUGAAGAGGCGGGGAGCCCCCCCAGCACUGAGCCCCUGAGCUGCAGCCCCACAACUGCCCCCCAGCUGCCUCACAAGACACGGAUGAGCCCCACAGCUGCCCCAUGGGACGCGGAUGAGGUAUGGGGAGCACUGAAGAGGCGGGGAGCCCCCCCAGCACCGAGCCCCUGAGCUGCAGCCCCACACCUGCCCCACAACCCCACAGCUGCCCCAUGGAUGAGACUGUAAAACUCCAUUUGCAAAAAUCUGCUACGGUAAGGAGUGCUCGCUAGCAUGAGGAGUUCGUCACGUCGGGCGUCAUCUUUUGCUAGUGGUAAAUCCAGGACCUGCCUUCGGCAAACGCCGGCCGCUCCCCGGCGCUCCCGAAGCCGCCCCGCCGGCCGCAGAGGAAGGGAAUGAGAAUCGGCCCCGCCGCCGUGGGAGAGGGGACGGGACCCCCCCGGGCAGCCCCGCGCUGGGCCGCGUAAAGUGCAUGGUUUGCUUUUAUUUUUUUUUUCUUUCUUUCAUUAAAAAAAUAAGAGGAAUAAAACUUUCUUCUUUCGUCAAGGUACGCGGGGAGGACGUGAACGACGUUUUGGUCUCUCAGCAGAUAUUGCAGGAGCCAGGCCCGGCCCUCCUUGCAAGGUGUUUUGCCAUCCAGCGGCCCCCGGCUCCUCCUGCGCCCCGGGAUAACCGCCUGCUCCGCCAUCUUGUCGGCCUCGCGCUGCCUCCAGGAGCCGCCCGUCGCCUCCUUCCAUCGCUGCCGAGCUCCGAGCUUCAAUCCGUGCUGCAGGACGGGGCGAGCGCCUUCCCACACAGCGGGCCUGGAAUGUGCCACGCUCAGAGCCAACACCACCACACCCAGCAGCAGCGCCCUGCCGGGCACCGCCGCAGCCACGGGAGGACGAGGAGGGACCCGCAGCACGCACAGACGUCCCCAAAACCUCCCGGCACGGAGCUGAGCUGCUCUUCCAACGGCCAUCUUCUCAAUCUGCUCCCGGCCCCGUGGCAAAUAUCUGCUGAGAGACGGUCGCCGCGCCGCCCCGCGUACCAUCACCACUCGCUUCACGGUUCUUUUUAACUUUUUUUUUUUUUCCUUUUUAAUUUUUUUUUUUUUUCAUCUUCUAUUUUAAAAGAGAAGCCGGCGAGGUGGGUUUUCUUUUCCGCCAACGAGAGAAGCUGCCCCUCAGUGCAGAGCGGAGCAGCUGGGGAGCGAAGCGCCUCGGAACCGCGCCGGGGAGCGGCCGCAUCCCGACGAGUCGCCCUCCGCUGUCACGGAGUGAUGGACCACUCAAUAUGAGGGGAUCACUGCAGCCAACUCCUGCGCCCGUUACCCCGGGGCGGCCGGAAGCACGCGGGGUAACGCAGCGUUUCCGUUUUCUCUUGGGAGGGAGCGGGGAAAAUCGAAGCAGUUUUGACUUUGACGGAGCCGUGGGAUUUGAUUCUUGGGCUGAUCCACGCGGGCGGCCGGCCCGGACGUCUCGGCUAUUUACACGAGGUUCUGGGGCGCUAUACAAGAUUUACAUUUCCGUUUGUACAGCAGAUGCUUUGAUAGAGUCGCGCUCUCAAACCGUCCCUUCCGGGGCGACAGAAAUCUGGAAGCUCCACAAACCCGGCGUUCCCCUUCCGGAUAAAAGCCUUUUGCCCGUCUCCUACAGAAUCCAAGCCAUUGAAAAAGAAAAACAAAAACAAAAACCAACCAAGCGAAACAACCACCUCAUAUCUAUACACACAUACAGGGCUGUGUGUAUACAGACACAGAAGGAACAACCGAACCGCCGCCACGCGAAGCCCGGCUCUGCCCGCUGGCGUUGGGGAGCAGGAGGGGAGUCGGCUCCCACCACCGAGCACGGCAGACCACCACCACAACCCCUCUCCUCCCCUCGCGGGGUGCAUCCGGGCCUCGCUCAGCCUCUCCGUGUGGCUGCGGCCAGAAAACACCGCACCGCUCUGCUUGUUCUCUCUUUGUUGCUGCGAGAUUUCUUCCCCCGACGCGCUCUGCUCUUCUCACCCGUGUGCUGGAAGGUCAAAUGGAGCUGUGGGAGGUUUCUGUACAUAGAUACAGCGCUCAGAGCCGGCGCCGGGUGGGACAGAUGUGCUGGGUGUUGGGUUUUUUUUGGCUUGCGUGAUGUUUGCCUCUUCCCUUUUCCACGUGGCUCCUAAGCGGCGCUACCACGGAGUAAGAAAGGUAAGGCGAAUUCAGCCAAAAAAAAAUCCAAAAAAAAAACCAAAAAAAGGAGAAAAAAAAAUAAACCCAAAAAGAAUAUAUAUAUUUAUAUAUAUAUAUAUAUAACCCUCUUCGAAAAGGAGAGGUACCGCCCGCGUCGGCGCAAGAACCGGAGUGGCUCCCAGCAGCUGAGCAACAGAAAGUCCAUCAGCACCGAAGCGAGGGGACGCGGCGCUGCUGGCGCGGACACACACAGCAAUACAGCAGGACAUCACUGGGACAGCUGCCUUACAGUACAAAAUACAGUACGAGUGUACGGCGCCGGGCGGACACGCAGGAAUUACUAUUGCUCCCGGGAGGGCGUCGGAAACCGAGUCCUUUCGUGAUGGAGGAGAGUUAAAAACAGGAAAACGGAAGAGAGUCCUGGUUAAAAAUUCCCUUCAAAAGGGGCGGCGGGGGGCGCGUGGGGACGGCCCCGCUGGGAUGAGCCGCCCUCGGCCGUGCCUCACUUCUGCCAAUAAAUACGGAGCAAACGGAGCGGGGCGGCCGGGAGAGGGAUGGAGACAAUAAAUUAAGAAGGCAGCUGAAAUGAGAGGGCGGGCGUGCGUGGUGUGAGACAGAACCGGAGGGACGACGACGGUCCUACGAGAGCCUGGGAGGCGUCACACAGCAAUAGCUGGAACUUUGGAAUGAACAGCGGGCUCCCAUUCAGUUCAAAGUUAGGAGUACGGCGUGUUGGCUUAAAAAAAACCCCGCUGUGCAGGGCGGGACUGAGCCGAUUGCUUUAAAAAAUAAAGACCAUUCGAGAGUGAAAAUCCAUUUAAUAACAGAGGAGAGCGCCGAGAGGCCCCGCUGUGCUCCGCGGCGGCAGGAGCCGCGCUGGCGGAACGUCGAAGUGGUCAUUAAGAAUAAUUAAAAAAGGGGGAGAGAGGACAAAAAAUUAAAAAAAAAAAAAAAAAAAACCAAAAAGGGGGGGAAAAAAAAAAAAUAAAAAUGAAAACCAAACCCAAAAAAAGGGGGGAGACGUGGCGGGGCUCCCAGCUCCCCCAGCCACCACACGUUGAGGUACUGAGGAGACGCGUUGAGUUCGUGUUAAAAACCCGCGCUCGGAGGAGGGAGAGGAGGAAGAAGAAGAGGAGCGGGGUGGGAUUUCUGCACCUGAGGUCGGCGGCACCGCGGCGUGGGGGAUCCCUGCGGCACCGCGGCCGUGUGCUUUGUGCUGCUGCCUUCUGCUGCUGCCUUCCUGCUGCUCGCCCUCUCUCUGCGACCCCCGUGGUCGAAAGAAAAGGAGAGGAGGGUGGGGGGGGGGGAGAAAAAAAGCCAAAAAGGAGAAAAAAAGAAAAAAAAAAAAGGAGGAAAAAAGAAAAAAAAAAAAAGGAGGAAAAAAGAGCCCCGAAGCCAAACGAGGCCGUUCCUCACUCCUCACAAACCUGCCGGAUUCCCACCUGCUCGGCUGCGGGGUCCGGGUCGGCUGCCCGGAGUUCUGCAUCCCGGAAAACAACGCUGCGGAACGGAGGGGGGGAGAUGGGCUAAAUUCAAAAGGGAAAUCGAAGGAGACAAUGGACGUUGGUCCAGAGACGAACCCCUGCGUGGCAUCGCAUCGUAUCGCAUCGCAUCGCAUCGCCUCUCGCGGCCGUGGGCUCCGGUGCAGACGCCGGGAUGCUGGUGGGGCAGUGCCGGCACGGAGAGGGGGCGGGAUGGAACGGGACAGGACGGGAGAGAAGAGAGCAAAGGAGAGGAAAGGAGAGGAGAGGACAGGAGGGGGGCCCGGCGGCCCCGAGGAGCGCGGAGUCCUCGUUGGAAGCGGGCUGAGGGCUGCGGGCGCUCCGUGCCCCGUCGGAAGGAGAGACGCGGGGGGGGCUGCGGUCGGGCCCGG